GGUGUUUGUUAUAUUUUGGUGAUGAGGCCACACAACAUAUUGGGAUCUGUUCUACAGCAUGAAACCUCUGGGCUGUGAGAGGACUUGCUGGUGUUUGUUAUUGCUGGGUUCUCCCCACCUGAGCCCUCUGCAGUAACUCACAGCCUCUGCUGAUGGCAGCCCAGAGACAAGGCCAAGCACGCUGCUCCCACAGAAAGGAAAUCCCGUGGAGACCAGAUAAUAAAGGCUUGGAUUUCCAGGGCACAGUGUCCCUCUCGCCUCUUGACCUGUUUGACACCCUCUUUCACCAAACCUGCAUUCACUGAAUCCAAAUAAACAGCCAGCCAUCAAAGGAAAUACUUAAAAAGGAUUGUUCAUGGUUAGCCUUGAUGAAAUAUACAUUGGAAAACCUGCAUUUUAAUCACGUUUGGAGUUCUGCAUUUCAAAAAUGGUUUUGUUUAACUACAUCAGACUUGUCAUUCAGGGAAGUUUCCUUCCGUAGGAUGCCUGCAUUUAAAAUUCAAGUUAACCAAACCCAAACAAAUUUCCCAGGAGGCUGCAACAAACCAGACAAGCGUCUCACACACUCAGCUCUGACCUCUGUGCUGUACCAGGUGUAUCCCUGCUCUCUGCAAGCCUCCAAGAUGCUGCAUGUUUAUCCAACAUCCCCAGUUCUCAACAGGGUGUCGUGAGGAUUCAUCAAAAUCCCUGCACGUCACUUGUUGGAACAAGCUGUGGCUGGAACUCCCCCCUUGCAAAGAUUAAUCCUGUGCCCCAGUCAGCCUGUCCUGCCCUGAUCAUCCUGGCCUGCACAGAAUUGUUGUGCCUUGUUUUAUCUCAGACAUGACUAUUGCAUGGUGUUACCUGAGAUUAUCCUUUGCAUGUAAGGUAGAAUUGAUGCAUGAAUAUGAGUUUGUUAAAUGCUCCAGGACAUUUAUCCUGGGUGAAUUUUUCAGUACUAUCAUCUUCAGCUUACUUUAAUGAAGAUCUAGCUAUAAUCUGAGCAAAGUGUCACCUGUUGAUGCAGUAAUUAGGGAAAAAUGUGCACUUCAGGACUGACUAAAGAGCACAUAUCCCAGACAGAAUUGUUUGAUGCAAAAUGAUGAGGUUAUUUUGGGCCAAACUUCUUGGGCAUCAUUUGGUGUGUCUCCCACUGCUGUCAUUUUUGUGUGACACAGUUCAAAGGCACAGUAGAUUGAAAGGGCCUUGUAUCCUCUCAUCUCUUGGAGCCACACAUCCCUGUGGCACACAGGAUAUUGCAGCCAGAGCACACAUCUCAGGCAACAUGCAGCUUGUGGCCUUCCAAAUUCUUCAGCCAGCACAGGAAAACAAACAGCAGCCUUACAGACUUAAUGGACUUCUAAUGCAUUUGAUGGAUUCUGCAUCAGCAGUUUCUAAUGGAACAUCUAAAGAGGGAAAAUUCCCUUUCCAUGGAGAUUCUGAGGAGAAAAUGAACUGACAGUGCAAAGGGUUCUCUUUGCAGCGUUGGAUGCUGUGCAGGAGAACUCAGGGGUCAGACCCAGAGUGUUCAUCUCUUCUGAAACAUCCCUGAGUUCUCCAGGUCAGAACUGAGCUGUGUCUGAGGCACAGGCUGCUCAUGUAGCACAGCAUUGGCAGAGGCAAAGGGCAGCAGGAAACUGUGACCUCCUUGGGCAGGAGCACUGAACUCAGCUCCCCAGAGCUGGUGAGGAGGAGGCUCAGAAACUGGGGCUGGAAAUCUGAAAUCUGCUCCCAUGGCAGCUGUGCCUUUAGACAGAGUUCUGCAGUUAUCAGGAGGAAGACAAAGCUUUCAAUUCCUUUGUUGAAUCCAUAUAGGCAGCAGUGUGACACAUUCCUCCUGGUCACAUAUCCUUGACUUUCUUACUUUUGCAUAAUCUUUGAACUUCAGCUAUUGAUAAAUAAAUUGGUUUACAAAGCAGAGUAAAUCACCAUUCAGUGCUGAGCUGCUAUUGUGCCACUCAUUUGUAAGGCAGCUUUCAGGCUUUUUUUAAAAAUCAGUUUGGCUUGACAUUUUGUUUUCCUACUAUUAUUUAUG